rnacentral:tRNA from 1 species
GCGCCCGUAGCUCAGUAGGAUAGAGCAACAGUUUCCUAAACUGUGUGCCGGUGGUUCGAAUCCACUCGGGUGCG